rnacentral:rRNA from 1 species
AGCGAAUGCUGGCGGCAGGCCUAACACAUGCAAGUCGAACGGAUCCUUCGGGAUUAGUGGCGGACGGGUGAGUAACACGUGGGAACGUGCCCUUUGGUUCGGAACAACUCAGGGAAACUUGAGCUAAUACCGGAUGUGCCCUUCGGGGGAAAGAUUUAUCGCCAUUGGAGCGGCCCGCGUCUGAUUAGCUAGUUGGUGAGGUAAAAGCUCACCAAGGCUACGAUCAGUAGCUGGUCUGAGAGGAUGAUCAGCCACAUUGGGACUGAGACACGGCCCAAACUCCUACGGGAGGCAGCAGUGGGGAAUCUUGCGCAAUGGGCGAAAGCCUGACGCAGCCAUGCCGCGUGAAUGAUGAAGGUCUUAGGAUUGUAAAAUUCUUUCACCGGGGACGAUAAUGACGGUACCCGGAGAAGAAGCCCCGGCUAACUUCGUGCCAGCAGCCGCCGUAAUAC